AACAUAGUUUCGUCAGUGCCUGCGCCGUCGACGAGCCGGCGCCCGGCGGCACUGGAGCGACGCGAGCGCGGAUCAGGUCGGACUCCCGGCCGCCGCCUCGCCAAAGUGGGAGCGCAAAUGGGCGCCAGCGCCACUCACGGGGUGCGGCCGCGGCGUGCGUGUUCGGCUGCUGGGAGCCGCACAAGGUGGCCCACGGGCCACGACGCACGUGUACGUGCUGCUGCCACGGCAGCUGGCAAAGCAUCGGUCGGCGCCGUCGCGCUGGUUGCCUGCGUCGGCCACUCUAGUUCAGUUGAGCAGUGAGGACUCCUGCUGUGAAUUCAUGGAGCAGUAACCACUAAUCAACAAGUCAAUAGGGUCAAACGAAGCUUGAUCUCAGAACUAGAAGUGGGUGUUACUUUCAGUCUGUCACCACACUAUAAUAUAAGAUCUGCAGGUACCGCCGGAUGAGUCAAGGAUUGCUGCUCAUCAGUGGCACGCCUGACACGACACGGGCUGCUGACCAGGCGUCGACUCGCAACGCAAGCAGCCGGUUAGAUGCUGUUGCUGCCCCGGGACUCGCAAGCAGGCGGGUCCGUUCCAAUUCCGUGGACUCGAUCCAGGCGGACCACGCCCCGGGCCAGCCGAUCCAUCUUUGUUCCAAGGCGCAAGGGCCACGGGGAUGCUGGCGGAUGGAGGGCGUGUGCGGCAUCGACGUUGUCUGUGGUAGACUGGUACGAUUCAUGCACAACAUUAUUAUCUCCAGGUUAUUUUGCAUGCUGUCUCCGUCACACGGAAGCAUGAUCAUUCAUCAGAACUUAGAAGUUGCCUACUAGAGCUUAAAGUCAGCUAAGAGAUCAUAUACAAUCCAAAGGUGACAAGGAACUAUGGAUUGCAAACACCCAAUUUUCCCAAGGUUUUGUCUGGUUGUAGGAAAACAGCUAUAGAAGAACCUACAAGUAUAGUUUUCAUUUUAUGUUUUAAUAAAAUCGUUUAAAAAAUUGCGGA